GCGAAAUACGAUACGGGACUCAUCCGAGGCCCCGUAAUCGGAAUGAGUACACUCUAAACCCUUUAACGAGGAUCAAUUGGAGGGCAAGUCUGGUGCCAGCAGCCGCGGUAAUUCCAGCUCCAAUAGCGUAUAUUAAAGUUGUUGCGGUUAAAAAGCUCGUAGUCGAAUUUGUGUCCCGCGCCGCCGGUUCAUCGCUCGCGGUGUCAACUGGCGUGUCCGCGGGACGUCCUGCCGGUGGGCUUAGCCCCCCGUGGGCGGCCCAAUCUCAAUCCCACCGCGGUGCUCUUGACUGAGUGUCGAGGUGGGCCGGCACGUUUACUUUGAACAAAUUAGAGUGCUUAAAGCAGGCUAAAACAUCGCCUGAAUACUGUGUGCAUGGAAUAAUGGAAUAGGACCUCGGUUCUAUUUUGUUGGUUUUCGGAACCCCGAGGUAAUGAUUAAUAGGAACGGACGGGGGCAUUCGUAUUGCGACGUUAGAGGUGAAAUUCUUGGAUCGUCGCAAGACGGACAGAAGCGAAAGCAUUUGCCAAGAACGUUUUCAUUGAUCAAGAACGAAAGUUAGAGGUUCGAAGGCGAUCAGAUACCGCCCUAGUUCUAACCAUAAACGAUGCCAGCUAGCGAUCCGCCGACGUUCCUCCGAUGACUCGGCGGGCAGCUUCCGGGAAACCAAAGCUUUUGGGUUCCGGGGGAAGUAUGGUUGCAAAGCUGAAACUUAAAGGAAUUGACGGAAGGGCACCACCAGGAGUGGAGCCUGCGGCUUAA
rnacentral:rRNA from 1 species